CACCCUUCCAUCUCUUCCUUCAUCUUAAAAAUCUUUCCUUUAAUUUCAACAGUGCUGCCUGGGUUUGUCAUUUCAGGGGUUGGGCAUGUUCCAGGAUCUGUCUAUAGACUUCUCUCAGGAGGAAUGGGAGUGCCUGGACGCUGCUCAGAAGGACUGAUACAGAGAUGUAAUGAUGGAGAACUAUAGCAGCCUGGUCUCACUAGGUCUCUCUAUCCCAAAGCCUGAUGUGAUUUCCUUACUGGAGCAAGGGAAAGAGCCCUGGAUGGUUUCAAGGGACGUACCGGGAGGAUGGUGCCCAGAGUCUCACUCUGUAGCCCGGGCUGGAGUGCAGUGCGCGACCUCGUCUCACUGAAAGCCAAUAAGAAGAGCUUGGGGAUGACCUCCCUACAAGCACAGCAAAACCUUUCCUGCGCAUUUCUGCGCUGGAACGCCUACGCGCCUCGCCAAACCAAAACUUUACUACCACCCUUAGUGCCGUUUCCUGCACUUUCUUGGAGAGUUGUACCAGGUGCUGGAGACCCUCCCACCUGGUCCAUGCCCGCCUCCCGGUGAGCACCGAGACACAAACUUGUGCACUGCCAGUCUUGUUAUCAACAAACAGGCUAGUAAAUUAUAAAAAAUAAAAUAAAGGAAAUG
rnacentral:lncRNA from 1 species